rnacentral:rRNA from 1 species
UACGGGAGGCAGCAGUGGGGAAUAUUGCACAAUGGGCGCAAGCCUGAUGCAGCCAUGCCGCGUGUAUGAAAAAGGCCUUCGGGUUGUAAAGUACUUUCAGUCGUGAGGAAGGUGUUAAGGUUAAUAACCUUAGCAAUUGACGUUAGCGACAGAAGAAGCACCGGCUAACUCCGUGCCAGCAGCCGCGGUAAUACGGAGGGUGCGAGCGUUAAUCGGAAUUACUGGGCGUAAAGGGCACGCAGGCGGUUAAUUAAGUUGGAUGUGAAAUCCCCGGGCUUAACCUGGGAAUGGCAUUCAAGACUGGUUAGCUAGAGUCUUGUAGAGGGGGUAGAAUUCCAUGUGUAGCGGUGAAAUGCGUAGAGAUGUGGAGGAAUACCGGUGGCGAAGGCGGCCCCUGGACAAAGACUGACGCUCAUGUGCGAAAGCGUGGGGAGCAAACAGGGAUUAGAUACCC